CACCGGUCUGCAAUUCCCAGCGAGAUUGAUGCAGAAGGCGGGUGAUUUCUGCACUUCCAACUGAGAUGGUGCUGUAAUGGAAAUCCUUUAUUUGUGACUCUUGUGGCCUUGUGUGAGAGUUUUUUCCUAAGAUGGACUACAGAGAACCAGAGAGAGUUUUAAAUGUCUUAUUACCAGAACUUAAAGACCUUUAAGCAGAUGCAUGUAAAAAAAUGAUGGUACUUGACAGUCCAGCUGCCACAAUGCUUUCAAAAAACUGGAUUUCUACUGGAUUCUUCAAGAUUACAAAGUUACAGCCUUAACAAACAGGUUGUGGACAAGGAAGACAAAGAGUGCAUGAACUGCCUGGUGAUGAAAGCCAUGGUGCAGUGGCGGCGGCGACUGCAACAAGACCCAGGCAGGAAAGGCGCGUGUGGUGUUGGGACCAGCAGACGGGCAGCCUCUGAGGCCAUUUUCUAUUUUUG
rnacentral:lncRNA from 1 species